AUUGAACGCUGGCGGCAUGCCUUACACAUGCAAGUCGAACGGCAGCACGGGAGCAAUCCUGGUGGCGAGUGGCGAACGGGUGAGUAAAGUAUCGGAACGUGCCCAGUCGUGGGGGAUAACGUAGCGAAAGUUACGCUAAUACCGCAUACGAUCUAUGGAUGAAAGCGGGGGAUCGCAAGACCUCGCGCGAUUGGAGCAGCCGAUAUCAGAUUAGGUAGUUGGUGGGGUAAAGGCUCACCAAGCCGACGAUCUGUAGCUGGUCUGAGAGGACGACCAGCCACACUGGGACUGAGACACGGCCCAGACUCCUGCGGGAGGCAGCAGUGGGGAAUUUUGGACAAUGGGCGAAAGCCUGAUCCAGCCAUGCCGCGUGCAGGAUGAAGGCCUUCGGGUUGUAAACUGCUUUUGUACGGAACGAAAAGGUUUGGCCUAAUAAGCUGAGCUCAUGACGGUACCGUAAGAAUAAGCACCGGCUAACUACGUGCCAGCAGCCGCCGCAG
rnacentral:rRNA from 1 species